rnacentral:rRNA from 1 species
GGUUGGUAGUCCGCACGAGCGCACCCCCUAUCCUUAUUUGCCAGCACGCAAUGGUGGGAACUCUAGGGAGACUGCCGGUGAUAAACCGGAGGAAGGUGGGGACGACGUCAAGUCAUCAUGGCCCUUACGAGUAGGGCUACACACGUGCUACAAUGGCGUAUACAGAGGGUUGCAAAGCCGCGAGGUGGAGCUAAUCUCACAAAGUACGUCGUAGUCCGGAUCGGAGUCUGCAACUCGACUCCGUGAAGUCGGAAUCGCUAGUAAUCGUGGAUCAGAAUGCCACGGUGAAUACGUUCCCGGGCCUUGUACACACCGCCCGUCACACCAUGGGAGUGGGCUGCAAAAGAAGUGGGUAGUUUAACCUUCGGGAGAACGCUCACCACUUUGUGGUUCAUGACUGGGGUGAAGUCGUAACAAGGUAGCCCUAGGGGAACCUGGGGCUGGAUCACCUCCUU